CCGAGCGUUAUCAAAUCGAUCCUUACUCCAACCUCGCUUCCCAGGUUAGGGGCUUGGAGCGCUCAAAAGGUCCGGUGUCUUGGGGCGCGCUUUUUCUCACCUGCCUGGAGCCUGCUCACCUGUUCGUUCCAACGGUGCAGCUGGCUGUAGCGCACCCUGCAGAAGAGGUACCCGUCCAGGUACACGGAGUACAGCUGCAACACGGAGACAGAGCGGCUCGGAUUAGCUGAGCGAGCAGCUUUGAGAAUGGCUUUCGUGGCAACUCGGAAUCUAAAUGAACGAUCCAGCCUCUUAGAGGAAAACAUCCUGUCAAUCUCCAGUCUGGGCUACACAGCUACAUCACCCUGUUCCUUAAAGUAAAGAAGGGCACUAGUAGAGGCCGGGGGCAACUGUCCUUGCUGCAACUCAAGAAAAGGUGUAAGCUAUGAAAAGUCCUCUGCGAGUAAGUACACAGAAAGCCCAGCCCAUCCAAUCAGUAAUUCAAAUACACAAUGUCUGACAGUGUUUGAAAAAAUUCAAGUCAAUACCAGGCUAACAAGUAAACUAAAAUCUCCUUUAGUUUCUAUUUCGACUUCUCUUUAAAAAGUCAGCAAUAGGUUUGGAAUACUGGUAAAAACAAAUUUUUGCGACGUUUCAAAACCUACUCAAACUGGUAAGAGAUAAGGAAAUCAGUAUGAAACUCCCCAGGGAGUAAUGCUCACUUUAAACAGUUGGAACACCAGUGGCACUGUUAACUGCUUUCUGGGCAGCCUCUUUCGCUUGGUGGGCUUGUAGUACGGCUACAGCUUCAUCAACCUAAAGAACAAAUUGGCUCUGUGAAGGAGUCACUGGAAGAAGUUCCAAUUCACAACAUGUAAAUGUCCAAAGGCAAACCAAACUCUUCCUCAGAGGAAAGUGGAAGGAACUGCUUUCCAGAACACAUUUCAACUGUAUCCAUAUCCUGUGGGGUUACAAUCCACCACCGUCCUGGAAUCAUGAACCCUCUUGCGCUUCUCACGUUCUCCUCACCAAAACUCCCCCAAAGUUGAGAAACAUUGGCAAACAUGUCUUUCUUCACUAAGAAAACAGCACAGCCAAGAGACUAUGGAUGCUGGAUGUGAAACCAAGCUCUGCCAUGGACUAGCUGUGUGAACAAAGGGCAGGAUUUCCAAACUGUUUCCCCACGUACAGUAAAAAUGGGGAUGACGGAACCACAGGUGGUUAUCAGGAUUUACAUUCGUAAUAAAACUUAGAACUGUGCGUGGCUUGUAUAAAGCACUUAUUAUUAAUGUUCAAGUUUCUAUAAAAAGCCCUGGAAUACACUGUAUAAGAAGCUGCUAGAUAAAUGAUGAAUUUAAAUUACUUUAGAACGGAGAGACUCUGGAGACUCCAGCAUAUGAAGAAGUUCUGAAUUAUCAAUCUCCAACAACAUGCCAGUGAUUUUACCAGCAAGAGUAGGGUGCAUGGCUUGAAUUAGAGGAAAGAGCCGCUCACCUAGGAACAAAAACAUAGAUUCCUUUCAUCAGAAGAAUAAAGCCAUCUGCCAAUAUUAAAACUGGGUUGAAGAACCUUACUUUUGGAUACAGCAAAUAAAUGCUAACCCCAAAUCCACCAUUUUGAUACCGUUAUCAAACAGAUCAAGCUCUACCCCCAAGGCAAUUAAGUUGGUAAAUGUGUGCUCAGUUUUUUUUCCAUUUAGUUCAAAUUCCCUGUUCCCAAAAUGUCAUGGGAUCCAUGGCAAGUAGCACCCUAUUAUCCUAUUCAUCAAAAGCAAAAUACUUAAUUAAAAGCCUGGAAAGCUAUCAAGAAGUUUGGUAGACACACCAAGUCAAACCAAUCCCACCACCUUCACUGCCACUUUUAGGUGCGAAGCAGGGCUCUGAGGAUCUCCCUCCUCUUUUCUAGCCAAUCUGUCUGCCACUGACUAAGUGGGACAAAGGCACUUACCCAACAUUUGCUUUUGCUCUUGAGGAGGGGCAGAUGCCAACAUGGAAGCAGUCAAAGGCUCCUGACCUUGUACGUGGACAGCAGGCUAGAAAAACGGGAAAAUUCCGAACUUUAAAGUACAGAAGUGAUGGCACAUAAAAACACUGAUCACCAGAAAAUCCCAAAAUGAUGAAGACUGCAUUCUAAACAUGAAUAGGAGAGGCUGAGUGAAUCAGCAAUACAGCCCAAGUAUUAUAACCACACAGGAUACUUCCUUCUCUACCUGGAAUAUUCUUUUGAGCUCUGUUUCUGUUACACUCAAUGACAGUUGACAAUUUUUGUCUCAGGGUCGAAAAAAGGGGGUGAGCCAAAUCUCACAGACCAAUCUUUAUUUCGCCUUUUCUCCCUUAGGACUAUGCCUAACAAAGCUCUCAAACCACACAAGCGGGUCGGGAUGAGGGAUGCUGAAUGCUUGUCUAACUCCCACAGUAUAGGGCAAAUAAGACGUUUUUUCACACGGCCAAUUAACGGGACACCAAUUAACAAGACAUUCUGGACACCUCAAGCUCUCAUGAUCCAGCUGUCAUAUUUCUUUAACUGCAACCAAGGCCCGUCCUCUCGGGGAGAACUCGAAGACCCACCUGCUGCAUGGUAACUUGCGGCUGUGCAUUCAGAUGCUGCUGCGGAUUGCGGACCCCGGCGGCGUACUUAUACUGUGGAACGGUGCGGACCGCAGGAGUGGCUGCAGCGGCAGCAGCUGCAGGACGUGGACCCAUCGUCUGUGUUGACGUGUUAGCUAAAAAAUGAACAUGCGGGUCUGCACUUUGACCGUGCUUUCAAAGAGGAAAUCCAUUUUUACAGGAAGUGUUCCCACUUACCAACACGCUGUGUGGACAUGACUCGUGGAACCUGUGAAGAAGCUGGUCUCAUAGUACUAAAUGGUGGUCUAGGAGCGGCUGGGCGGAUAGCACCGGGCAUAUUUUGGAAUGCUGCAUUUGAAGAUACAGACACACGUUAACUGGGAAAAAACUCACCGAAAGCAUUAAAAAACUCAGGCUUUUUUAGAGUUGAGGUUUGAACAAAAGGAUAAAAAUGACUAAAUAAAUAGAGCUACCAUGUUUUAAAGCUUAGUCUCUCACCUGCCACUUGCCCGGAGAAUGAGUCCAUAAAAAAAUUCAUUCGUGUAAGAAUAAGUACUUAUUACUACCUGAACACGAUACACAAACCUGGUUCCAAGUGCUCCUGCGAUGCAGCCCUGGUCCACAGGGCAAGGCUCAAAAUGCCAGGACGCUGAUCCUCGCACAUUGGAACAAGGUCUUUUAAAAUUACUGCCUAACCAAAUGUGAAAUUAAGAGUUGGAUCCAUUCCCAAACUUGUCAUAAAGGAAAAUCAAAUCAGCACAGAAUUUACUGCCUCCGUAAGACAGGAAGGGGGAGGCAUUUUAGGAUUUUGCUUAAAAAAACAAGAAACAAAAAACGCUAGGACCCCCAAAAUGAACACCCACAACCCUAAAUUAUAAAAAAAGUCAAUAUACCGUUGAAACAGAACAGCUUAUUUGUCUCUCACUUUUAGUCCAAACAAUUCACAACCAUACUUAAAAACAAAAGGCUUACGAUGAGGUCUGGCACCCUGAGCAGUCCAGCGAGGACUUGGUCUGAGUUGAGCAAUCUGGCUAGGAGGGUAGUACGCAGCACGGUUCUGAGUCUGCAGAAAGCAAACACACGCGUCCGGUAAAGAAGCAAGCAAGUGACGCAGCGAGCUUGACACUAUAAUAAACAGUCAGCAAGUCCUUACGCUCUAAGCGUUUUUUUUCAAACGUGAUCGUAAUUCACAUGCCUUUAUUUAGGGCAAAGACACUAAACGUGACCAAAUAUGAAAACCUGCAUUAGGUUUUUGUUCUCUUCUGAAACUUACCUGUGGGAUAGCUGCCAUGAAGUAACCUGAAGGAGGUGCUGGCUGGUAGGGGUUGAUUACAGGAUUGGGCACAGCUCGGACACUUGCCAUUCUCUGCAUAUACUGGUUAGUGAGGUGAGCCUGGCGCUCUUCUUUGCGCUGAGCUAAAGCUACAUACAAUGGCUUGGUGGCCACAAUUCUACCAUUCAUUUCUGUAACUGCUUUUGUGGCUUCUUCUGGGGAGGAGAAA